rnacentral:rRNA from 1 species
GACGAACGCUGGCGGCGUGCUUAACACAUGCAAGUCGAACGAAGAGCGACGGAAGCUUGCUUCUAUCAAUCUUAGUGGCGAACGGGUGAGUAACGCGUAAUCAACCUGCCCUUCAGAGGGGGACAACAGUUGGAAACGACUGCUAAUACCGCAUACGAUCUAAUCUCGGCAUCGAGGAUGGAUGAAAGGUGGCCUCUACAUGUAAGCUAUCACUGAAGGAGGGGAUUGCGUCUGAUUAGCUAGUUGGAGGGGUAACGGCCCACCAAGGCGAUGAUCAGUAGCCGGUCUGAGAGGAUGAACGGCCACAUUGGGACUGAGACACGGCCCAGACUCCUACGGGAGGCAGCAGUGGGGAAUCUUCCGCAAUGGACGAAAGUCUGACGGAGCAACGCCGCGUGAGUGAUGACGGCCUUCGGGUUGUAAAGCUCUGUUAAUCGGGACGAAAGGCCUUCUUGCGAAUGGGAGAAGG